rnacentral:lncRNA from 1 species
UUUGAUGUUAAAAAAGAGAGACAAUUAUUGUUUCGCUGGUUUUCACAACAAACUUUUCGUAUCACUGAAUAAUUCUCAUGCGUCACCUCCUAGACAGACAAUUAUGAUAUCAUCUGGUUUGUUCAUAAUAUAUUUGCAUGCAUGAAUUAUUAUUUUCUGAGAUGCGUUGUACAGAAGCAAUAAAAUAUAUGAAGAUAAUCUAAAAAGGCAUUAUGAAAUAUUAAUAUGUAUUAUAUAUAUUUGUGGAUAAACAGUGAUCGAUCUAUAUUGGUUGAAAAAGAAUUAAUUUAAAUUAGUUUGAGUCAAACUAUGAUUGGAUGAUGAAUACCAAAAAGACAAGAGUCUUUUUCUCGUUUGACUCUCAUUGUAUUAGCUCGGGUUUUUCCUCAACGGUUGGCAAACUAAAGUGGACAAAUUACUGGAUUUUUCAACUUGACAAAAAAAAAUAGUUUUC